CGAAGGGUGCAAGCGUUACUCGGAAUUACUGGGCGUAAAGCGUGCGUAGGUGGUUGUUUAAGUCUGUUGUGAAAGCCCUGGGCUCAACCUGGGAAUUGCAGUGGAUACUGGACGACUAGAGUGUGGUAGAGGGUAGUGGAAUUCCUGGUGUAGCAGUGAAAUGCGUAGAGAUCAGGAGGAACAUCCAUGGCGAAGGCAGCUACCUGGACCAACACUGACACUGAGGCACGAAAGCGUGGGGAGCAAACAGG
rnacentral:rRNA from 1 species